GACGAACGCUGGCGGCGUGCUUAACAUAUGCAAGUCGAACGGACCUUCGGGUUAGUGGCGAACGGGUGAGUAACACGUGGGUGAUCUGCCCUGCACUUUGGGAUAAGCCUGGGAAACUGGGUCUAAUACCGAAUAGGACCACGGCAUUCAUGUGCUGUGGUGGAAAGCUUUUGCGGUGUGGGAUGGGCCCGCGGCCUAUCAGCUUGUUGGUGGGGUAAUGGCCUACCAAGGCGACGACGGGUAGCCGGCCUGAGAGGGUGACCGGCCACACUGGGACUGAGAUACGGCCCAGACUCCUACGGGAGGCAGCAGUGGGGAAUAUUGCACAAUGGGCGCAAGCCUGAUGCAGCGACGCCGCGUGAGGGAUGACGGCCUUCGGGUUGUAAACCUCUUUCGCCAGGGACGAAGCGCAAGUGACGGUACCUGGAGAAGAAGGACCGGCCAACUACGUGCCAGCCGCCGCCGUAA
rnacentral:rRNA from 1 species